rnacentral:rRNA from 1 species
GGCCGUUACGAUGUCGAUUUGGAGGUUGUGCCCUUGAGGCGUGGCUUCCGAAGCUAACGCGUUAAAUCGACCGCCUGGGGAGUACGGCCGCAAGGUUAAAACUCAAAUGAAUUGACGGGGGCCCGCACAAGCGGUGGAGCAUGUGGUUUAAUUCGAUGCAACGCGAAGAACCUUACCUACUCUUGACAUCCAGCGAAUCCUGUAGAGAUACGGGAGUGCCUUCGGGAACGCUGAGACAGGUGCUGCAUGGCUGUCGUCAGCUCGUGUUGUGAAAUGUUGGGUUAAGUCCCGCAACGAGCGCAACCCUUAUCCUUUGUUGCCAGCGGUUCGGCCGGGAACUCAAAGGAGACUGCCAGUGAUAAACUGGAGGAAGGUGGGGAUGACGUCAAGUCAUCAUGGCCCUUACGAGUAGGGCUACACACGUGCUACAAUGGCGUAUACAAAGAGAAGCGAACUCGCGAGAGCAAGCGGACCUCAUAAAGUACGUCGUAGUCCGGAUUGGAGUCUGCAACUCGACUCCAUGAAGUCGGAAUCGCUAGUAAUCGUGGAUCAGAAUGCCACGGUGAAUACGUUCCCGGGCCUUGUACACACCGCCCGUCACACCAUGGGAGUGGGUUGCAAAAGAAGUAGGUAGCUUAAC